GCCUUGAACUCAGAAAUCUGCCUGCCUCUGCCUCCCAAGUGCUGGGAUUAAAGGCAUGCACCACCACUGCCCAGAUGAAAACUCUUAUAUUAAUCUACCUUCAAAGCAUCCUUCCUUGGCUGGUGAGAUGUCUCUCUGGUUAAAAUGCUUGCUUUGCAAACAAGAGAAUGUAGGUUCAGUCCUCAAAAAGCCAGACUCAAUGCAGUGCAUUUGUAAUCCCAGUGCUGGGGAAGUAGAGCCAAGUGGAUUUCUGGGACCUAGCAGCCAAGCAACCUAGUCUAAUUGGUGAGUUCCAGGCCAAUAAGAGACCCUGUCUCAAAAACUGAAGGAGGAGACUCAUAUGCAAGUUUUGCCCUCUGGCCUUCAUAGGCAAACAUAUGAAGACACACAAGUGCACCUGAGCACACUUACAAAAUGUCCUUUCUAUUAUUUUCAGCUAUGAUACAAGCUGAGAAUUCUUCCCCCAUUUUAACAGUAACAGCCUGUGAACUUGAGCUAAGUAUGUCUAAAAUUUGUGUCUUAAAUGAUGAUCUUAUAAACAACAUACUUGGGACUGUGCAAGGCCUAUCCAUUCCCAGCUUCUCAGUACCUCUGUCUGUCAUUUCUCCAUUCUCCAUUGCCCUGGUCAAGGCAAUCCCAAAGCCAUGCUGGUUGAGACACUCAUGGAUUCCUUACCUGCUUUAAGUAAUAAAUCUUCCUCCACUUUUUCAUGUCUUGGCUGUGCUUGUUUAGCCUUUUGCAUUCACCAAGAUGUGAGCUUAUUACAUUUGUUUACAAAGAGAAUGAUCAAUCCAGAAAUGAGGUAUGGCAAAUUACAAACUCCAAAUAUGUGGAACUGAUACCGAUGGAAUCUUCUAGCAUCCAUUGAUGGGAAGGAAGUUGAUACAUUUUGUAAGAUAUGGCAGUGAACCAGUUAAUUACAGUUCCUGGGACUCAAAAGAAAAGCCCUGGAACUGGGCAUGAAGUUCAGUGGUAGAGUCCUUACCCAGCUUCCUUUCCUCAGCACCACAAAACAAACUGAGCUUUGAUUACUGCAGGCAGAAAUCCCUGGGCCCUGCUGACUUGCAGCAGAAGUGUCAGACCCACUUCAAGGAUUUCACUAAUUAAGAAACUGGCACCAGCAAAUUAUUUACACGUAUAUAAGGAGUAGUAACUCCUCAUGCACCAACUCUGCCAAAAGUGCUGAUUUCCCAUAAAUGAAUCCAACUAGAUUUUAAGAAGCAAGUGAACAUCCUCAAGGCAGAUCAAGAGGGGGAAAUAGAUUUCACAGUAUUAAGCUCAGCUCAGAUUACUAUCUCCUACUGGAUCUCCGAUCGAGAGGAUCUCAAGCAGAAUGGCAGAGAGAAUGAGCCAAAUACUUAAAGAGAGUGCUAAGAAAAAGUAGCUGCAACAAUAGUAGAAUACUUGCUUUGUAUGUGCAGGAGAAGGAGUUUGAUCCCCAGCACUGGAAAAAAGGAAGAGAAAGGAGACCUACAACAAGACUUUUUACUACCUGUUAUUAAUACUUGCUACUGGGAGAUCUCCCACCAUGAAACCAAUAGGCCUUCAAUUGAAGAUUUAGAAAAAUUUCAUCAGUAAAAAAUCAUGUCUAGUGAAUCAUGAUUGUAAUGGACCACCCAGAGUAGCAAUUCUGGAGCAGCGCAUCACAGCAUCUGUUCUGAACAACAUCAUUUCAAGCCUCACCCUGUGUUUUCAACAUUGGAAACACUGAGUGUACAACGAGAAAUCCAUGAUUUUAGUAGUGUUGAAGAUAAAGCCAGACAAAUGUUAAAGUAUUAUAAACAAUGUAUUCACUAACUACUGAUGUCUCUGGCAUCCAAUACCUGUGAUGUACUCCAAAGCCUGCUGAUGAGAGUCUAAGACAAGCAACCAAAUGCCAGCAAAGAAAAGCAUCUACUUGAAUUCAUUUGGGACCAGGAGGGAGUGAAGCUGGAUUCUGCAGGGGUGGAGCUGGAAAUGCCUGCAGAUUCAUCCCGGGCUGGAAGAGUCCCCCAGAUUGGGUAGGCAGUACUACAGACUGUUGUGCUGUUCCCGACAUUCCUACCCACUGUACUGGAUAGCCUGUGGCGCUCACAGCGUUGUACUGAGAAAUGUGAGGCAUUCCAUAUGACGCUAAUUGCCCAGGAAAUGAAGGGAGUGGGAGUCCUUGUGGCAAGGAAGUUGGGACAGCUCCACGAAUUUGGGGGAGAGAAGAAAUCCAGUUUGAUGUGUAUCCCAUAGUAGAUGGAGUACUCUAACAAAAACAAAAACAAACAUAAAGACAAAACAUCAGUUCAUAUGGCACAUUCUUUUUUCAGUCUCUAUGCGUAUUCUUUUUGCCUCACUCCUUCUAUUAUAUUGAGUGGAGCACCUUUCUGUGAGUUAUGCAUGAGUAAUAUUCUUUUUUUUUUAAAGAUUUAUUUAUUUAUUUAUUUUAUGUAUGUGGGUACACUGUCACUGUCUUCAGACACACCAGAAGAGGGCAUUGGAUCCCAUUACAAAUGGUUGUGAGCCAUCAUGUGGUUGCUGGGAUUUGAACUCAGGACCUCUGGAAGAGCAGCCAGUGCUCUUAACUGCUGAGCCAUCUCUCCAGUACAUGAGUAACAUUCUUUACUUCAGUAUCUUCCUAACUGCCCUGCCUUUCAGUAUAAGCAUUAUUCAGAUAAGGAAACAGAAACUAAAAUUGGUAAGUAACCCAAGGUCACCAAGCAAGUGAGAGGGAUUUCAACUCUUUCCAGAGAACUCCAAGGCCCAUAUUAACUCCCUGUUCACACUUAAGCCUCUACUUUACUCAUGCUAAGACUAUUAUUUUGCUUUUCCUUUAUUCUGCCAGCCAUGAAUGUUCUUAUAGACUGUAUGCAUAGAUGAAAAUAAACCAUCUUACUUGUAUGAUCCUCUGGACAGAGGUACAUAAUUAGUUCUGAACAAGGGGACCUAACAUAUAGUAAAUGCACAGUAAACAUCUCCUCUGUUCCCUUUUCACUAUCUUAAAGCCUGACGCUUCUGUUAUGAUCUUUUUAUUUUAUUUUACUUGUAUGGGUAGUUUUCCAGCAUGUGUGUGUAUGUAUAUAAGCAUGCAUGUAUAUAACAUGUGUAUGUAUUAGAAGAGGGUGAUAGAUCAUCUAGGUCUGGAGUUAGCAGACCCAGAGUAAGCCACCACGUGGGUGUUGGGAAUCAAAUCCAAGUAUUCUGAAAGUGCAGCCAAUACUUUUAAUGCCUGAAUCAUCCAUCUCUCCAUCCCUUCUUUUAUAUUCUUACACAUUUACUUUUAUUCUUGUGUGUGUGGUGUGUAUAUGCAUGUGAGCUUAUGUGCAUAUAGAGGCAAAAAGUCCACUUUGGGUGUUAUUUCUCAGGUGCUAUCCAAGUUGUUUUUUGAGGUAGAGUCUGUCACUGGCCUGAAGUUCACUAAAUAGGCAAGGCUGGCUAGUUAGCAAUCUCCAAGAAUUCUUCUGUCUCUUCCUGUCCAGUGCUGGUAGUCAUGCAUGUACCACACACACCCAGCUUU